UACGUAGGGUGCAAGCGUUGUCCGGAAUUAUUGGGCGUAAAGAGCUCGUAGGCGGUUUGUCGCGUCGAAUGUGAAAACCCGGGGCUCAACCCCGGGCCUGCAUUCGAUACGGGCAGACUAGAGUGCGGUAGGGGAGUCUGGAAUUCCUGGUGUAGCGGUGAAAUGCGCAGAUAUCAGGAGGAACACCGAUGGCGAAGGCAGUUCUCUGGGCCGUAACUGACGCUGAGGAGCGAAAGCGUGGGGAGCGAACAGG
rnacentral:rRNA from 1 species